GCAAAGCUUUGGAACAGUCGCUGUCCAGCCCUUUGUGGCGCAGCGACCAGACUCCUGAUUGGGUCUGAACGCCUCUUGAGCAAAGAUCUGUUUUUUUUGUCCUCGAAAAAGCA
rnacentral:misc_RNA from 1 species